CCUAGGGCGGCAGCAGUGGGGAAUAUUGGACAAUGGGCGAAAGCCUGAUCCAGCCAUGCCGCGUGUGUGAAGAAGGCCUUCGGGUUGUAAAGCACUUUCAGUGGGGAAGAAAGCCUUGGGGCUAAUACCCUCGAGGAAGGACAUCACCCACAGAAGAAGCACCGGCUAACUCCGUGCCAGCAGCCGCGGUAAUACGGAGGGUGCGAGCGUUAAUCGGAAUUACUGGGCGUAAAGCGCGCGUAGGCGGUCUGAUAAGCCGGUUGUGAAAGCCCCGGGCUCAACCUGGGAACGGCAUCCGGAACUGUCAGGCUAGAGUGCAGGAGAGGAAGGUAGAAUUCCCGGUGUAGCGGUGAAAUGCGUAGAGAUCGGGAGGAAUACCAGUGGCGAAGGCGGCCUUCUGGACUGACACUGACGCUGAGGUGCGAAAGCGUGGGUAGCAAACAGGAUUAGAUACCCGGGUAGUC
rnacentral:rRNA from 1 species